rnacentral:rRNA from 1 species
GACGAACCGUGCGAACGUUGUUCGGAUUCACUGGGCUUAAAGGGCGCGUAGGCGGUUGCUCACGUCCGGGGUGAAAGCUUUCGGCUUAACCGGAAAAGGGCCUUGGAUACGGAGCAGCUCGAGGGAGGUAGGGGCAGGUGGAACUUCCGGUGGAGCGGUGAAAUGCGUUGAUAUCGGAAGGAACGCCGGUGGCGAAAGCGACCUGCUGGACCUCUUCUGACGCUGAGGCGCGAAAGCCAGGGGAGCAAACGGG